rnacentral:misc_RNA from 1 species
ACGAAAGGUCGCAAGACCCUAGACCCUUCAAACCUGUGGAAGCGAGACGUGCUUCGGCAGAGUCACUUUUGACCUGUCGCAUUUAUGCUGUCUGUGUUUUGUGUCUGAAUUUCGAAAAGAAUCA